rnacentral:rRNA from 1 species
GAUGAACGCUGGCGGCGUGCCUAAUACAUGCAAGUCGAGCGAACAGACGAGGAGCUUGCUCCUCUGACGUAAGCGGCGGACGGGUGAGUAACACGUGGAUAACCUACCUAUAAAACUGGGAUAACUUCGGGAAACCGGAGCUAAUACCGGAUAAUAUAUUGAACCGCAUGGUUCAAUAGUGAAAGACGGUUUUGCUGUCACUUAUAGAUGGAUCCGCGCCGCAUUAGCUAGUUGGUAAGGUAACGGCUUACCAAGGCGACGAUGCGUAGCCGACCUGAGAGGGUGAUCGGCCACACUGGAACUGAGACACGGUCCAGACUCCUACGGGAGGCAGCAGUAGGGAAUCUUCCGCAAUGGGCGAAAGCCUGACGGAGCAACGCCGCGUGAGUGAUGAAGGUCUUCGGAUCGUAAAACUCUGUUAUUAGGGAAGAACAAAUGUGUAAGUAACUAUGCACGUCUUGACGGUACCUAAUCAUAAAGCCACGGCUAACUACGUG